UAUAAAGUCGGGCCUGCCCUAUGAUUUUUAAAUGGCUGCAGUAUAUUGACUGUACAAAGGUAGCAUAAUCAUUAGUUUUUUAAUUGAGAACUUGUAUGAAGGGUUUGAUGAGAAAAUUUCUGUCUCAAUUUUAUUUUAUUAGAAAUUAAUUUUUAAUUUAAAAAGAUUAAAUGUUUUAAAAAGACGAGAAGACCCUAUAGAGUUUUAUUAUUUAUUUUGAUAAAAAUUUUUAGUUUUGUUUAUUUUAUUUAAAUGUUUAAUUUUAUUGGGGUGAUAGAAAAAUUUAAUAAACUUUUUAUUAUAUAAACAUUAAUUUAUGAUAAAUUUGAUCAAAGUUAAAGAUUAAAAGAAAAAAUUACCUUAGGGAUAACAGCGUAAUUUAUUUUUAAAGUUCUGAUUGAAAAAUAAGAUUGCGACCUCGAUGUUGGAUUAAAAAAAAUUUUUGGUGUAGAAGCUGAAAAAUUAAGUCUGUUCGACUUUUAAAAUUUUACA
rnacentral:rRNA from 1 species